GGUGUGUUAGUUCAAUUGGUUGAGCAUUGUGUUUCGGCCACAAAGGUUACAGGUUCAAGUCUUGUACACAUCU
rnacentral:tRNA from 1 species